UGGACAUGAAACUGCCUGGGUCCACCCUCAAGCCCACUCUCCACCCCUCCCGGUGUUCUCGUAGCCCCCAGCGUUGCCAGCGACUGGCGGAGGAUACCGACGGCUGGCCGCGCCUCCAUCUCUCCAGGGUGAGCCAUGUGACACGGGGCAGGCUCUCAGCGCGCGGUUCACCGGAAGGUCCCGGCACAGCCCGGGCAUGUCAGCGGAGGAUCGGCAGGCAGUGCAGAGACUUGUCAUCGGCAGCCCAGGCGGAGGUCCGCUCUGAAAGGCUUUGUUUCCCUGCUCGCCCAGUGGGCAUCCUGCCUCACCAAGCGCCUACCCGAGGCCGGGCCGCGAGAGGCGCGGGGCACGGAGGCAUGUGCAGGGAGGAAAACAGCUCCAAACAGAAAACAACCCAGAAGUCCUUCAAUGGGUGAAUGAUUAAACAAACUAUGGUAUAUCUGUACCAUGGAAUACUACUCAACAAUAAAAGAGAAUGAACUUCUGAUACAUGAAACAACUUGGAUGAGUCUCCAGGGAAUUAUGCAUGGCGUGCCAAGUGGUGCCACAUCCGCACCAGGGAUCCGAACCGGCGAACCCCGGGACGCCGAGAAGCGGAACGUGCAAACUUAACCGCUGCACCACCGGACCGGCCCCCCAAGACCAGCUUUUGAUAUUUGCCAUUGGGUACACAAUUAUUUUACACAUAAAGCAUUCAUCUUGUGCCCUGGCUUUGGGAUCUAUGAGGACAUGUGGGAGGGCCAGUCCCCACCACCGCACGUUCGCAGCACAGUUGACAAAGACAGCCCAUUGAGGAUGUAUCUCCACACAAUUGGAUCUUGAAGAGGAUGGGAAAAUUGUCAAAACUCCCGUAAGUUACAAGGAAUGCUGCUUUUCCUUUUAAUCUACCUACCUAUUCUUCAAAAGUUAGACCAGAAUGGAUCCUGAAACCUCCCAGGUCCCCGGGGCCCAUCAGGAGGCAAGCACUUGUGGCUGAGGCUGGGAUAAGACCACAGGGAGGCUCAGAGCCUGGGGGGCUGGGGUCGGCAUGCCUCUCUGAAAGCACUUUCAGUGAUUUUUACAACUUUGUAGAGGUCAAAGAAAUCAUGACUACCAACAGUUUGGGGUUCUCACACUACCAAACUUUGAUCCCUGUUUUAAGUAAAAACAGAGCAGAGAGCAAUAUAAUUCCCAUUCCCUCACUCUUACAAUGAGGCAGCCCCAUGUCAGCAUUAACAUUAUUGCAUUUAAUCUUAACAAAGUCUUAUGAAUUAAAUGUUAUAAUUCUCUUUUUUCAGUUUUGAGGAAACCAAGGCUCAGAGGUAAGUAACUGGCCUAAGGUACAUGGUGAGUAAACGACAAAGAUUUCUACCCAGCUCUGCCUCAAAAUUCUAGUUCUUAGCACUCUGCCCUACUGGCUCCAAUAAAGAAGACCAUGCGACGCAGAUGGCUUAGGGAACAGCCAGUGGAGGAGAUGAGCAAAACACAAAUAACCACUGUGCAGGCAUUCACCUUUGUUCUAAGGAGGCCAGCCUCUCAGCAGGGAAGACUAGGUCUUUAUCUUUUUAAUUUUAAUUUUAUUUUUAUUGAACCAAAACCAGAUGGCACAAAACUCGCAUUUGCAGCAUAGUGCCUGGAAGUCAGGCAAAUUCUUAUUCCCUAGGAUCUUACCCACAGGUGAAGACUACCUGGGAUGUCUUCUCUUUAAUUCAGUCCCUGGACACAUUCCCACCUGGCCUGAUCUCAUAUCCUUUAAAGUGCUGUGGAUGUGGAUAUGGCCUGGACUGCUCUUGCGGUUCUCACCAAAUUUGAUUUUCAUUAUGCUUAUUCUAUGCUUUUCUAACUCAAGACAUCAGUGUUAGAGUCCAAGAGAGCUAGGGUUGGAACUAAGUUCUGUCAUUUACUUGCUGUGUGACUUUGGGAAAGUUAGUUAAAUACUUAAAAUCUUGAUGUUCUCAUGUAAAGUGGGCAUAAUGGUAUUACCCACUUUCUUGGAUUGUUGUAAGGAUUAAAUCUUGGACCGUUGUAAGUUUGAAAUCAAGUACUGAACACAGAACUGGUACAUAGUAAGCUCUCAACAACAGCUUUUUGUAACUUUUAUUAAUGAUAAUAUAUGUUAAUAUUAGUGAUUUUAUUUCAUAGCCUGUUCUGUUCAAAGCCAGUCUAGUUUAAGACCUAUCUGCAUCUAUUCCAUUUAGUAAGUAAACAAAAAUAAACCUGAAUCAUAUUAAGUA
ensembl:lncRNA